UACGGAGGGUGCGAGCGUUGUCCGGAAUCAUUGGGCGUAAAGGGCGCGUAGGUGGCCCGGUCAGUUCGUGGUGAAAGCGCGGGGCUCAACCCUGCGUCGGCCAUGAAUACUGCCGCGGCUGGAGCACUGUAGAGGCAGGCGGAAUUCCGGGUGUAGCGGUGGAAUGCGUAGAGAUCCGGAAGAACACCGGUGGCGAAGGCGGCCUGCUGGGCGAGUGCUGACACUGAGGCGCGACAGCGUGGGGAGCAACAGGG
rnacentral:rRNA from 1 species